ensembl:lncRNA
CAGCAACAGUAGGAUUUUUUUCCAGAGUAAUGGGUGUGGCUUGUCAUGUUGGACCUGUAUAUGAAUAAGAGGAGUGUGGCUCCGAUCCUGAGGAGUUAGCAGCACACAGUGAUCCUCACGUCUGUCUCUACUCUUCUGCCUGACACACAGUGGAGCCUCGCAUAUCCAAGGAGGCUUAAGCCUACUACACAACAGUUGCUUAAUCAUGCAAGACACAGCUUUGAUUUGAAAGUCAAGA